rnacentral:tRNA from 1 species
GGUCGAUUGGCUCAGUGGUUAGAGCUUAGGUCUCGUAACCGAGAGGUCACGGGAUCGAAUCCCGCUAGAAGCUG